rnacentral:lncRNA from 1 species
CAUUCAUCACCUGCUGAGUAAAGACUCUUUGGGCCCUGAAUUAUCAGCAAUGGUAAAAAAAAAAAAGGUAGUACCUACCAUGGGAGGUAGGUGAGACUCUGAGACUUCAUGGCUUCAGAUGUGACUCAGCACAUUCCAAGCUGUGGUAGAGUUGGGGAGAGACUCUGCUUGAGAAAAGGAGAGGAAAGAGAAAAGGGUACUCUGUCUUGCAUCUCAGGUACCAGCUCAGCCACAGUAGGGUAGAGAAUCAAGUGGGCUC